CCGGAAUCGCUGGGGAGGGGUGGCGGCGGAGGUGCAACGCUCACCUUGGUGAGCAGAGGCGCGGGCUGCGGGCGCCAUGGUCUUCCUCACGGCGCAGCUCUGGCUGCGGAAUCGCAUCACCGACCGCUACUGGCGGGUCCAGGAGGUGCUGAAGCACGCGCGGCACUUCCGGGGGAGGAAGAAUCGGUGCUACCGGCUGGCCGUCAGGGCUGUGACGCGAGCGUUCGUGCAGUGCACCCGAGCCCGCAGGCUGAAGAAGAGGAACCUGCGGACGCUCUGGAUCAGUCGAGUUACAGCUGCUUCCCAGGAACACGGCCUGAAGUACCCAGCAUUCAUCCUCAACUUGAUUAAGGUAUGGUCAAGGAUGUGGUCCUCCCGAGACGUUAAACGUCUUCAUAACCCGUCCAGUUGCCGUGGUCCAGCAGCGCGGGCAGUGGAAUGUUAGCAGCCCAACAUUGCUUUUGUUCUUGGAGUGGGGUUCUGGUGGGUUCGGGGACGCACCACACUGGCUCUGCCGCUGCCCCGCUGGUAGCAGAAUUGGUAAUAGGGUAUGUGGCACCAAGACAUAAGCCCUGGUGUUUCCCCGUCAAGAGAAAAAGGUAGAAAAACUUGGCUUUAACUUUAAAGUUUAAUUUCAAAGUUUUUACACUGAAUGAAUUCUGGUGAGGUGGCAGAUCAAGUUGAAUCAUAGUCAAAAAGGAGGGAAACAUCUUGGAGGGAAUAAAGCAAGCAUGUGCCACAGAACCUUGGUCACUUGCAUCUGUGCCAGGUGGAGCUCAACAGGAAAGUACUUGCAGAUCUAGCCAUCUACGAACCAAAGACUUUUAAAUCUUUGGCUGCUUUGGCCAAAAGGAGGCGACAGGAAGGAUUUGCUGC